GAUAGUCAGAUAAGUAGGUAUCCAAGUAAAUUACCAAUUGUGUAACACUAUUAUUGACCAUGAUGGGUUUGCUGUUAUCCUUACAGAGAGUAAGAGAUCUCUUAAAAGGCUUUCUCCUUGAAGUUUUGUGAACAUCCAGGUAGCAUUGAUGAGUCUUGAAAUUUAUAAGUGACAAGAGGAAUUUGCAGGUAUAUAAGUAAGACAAGCUGUGCACCAAAUACAUUACCCACUAUGUAUUUUUCAGAUUCCUGUUAAAGAAUCACAUCAGGCCUACCACUGCUGGUCAACAUGGAACCUUUCUGGUUUCAGUGCAUUACUGGUAUGCAGACAAGUGCUUAUGCAGAAAAAAACUAAAGCACAAGCCAGUUGAUCAGAUUACGUGAGGGUAAAAGAUGUGUCUUUACCUGAUGCCAUGCCCUAAGGAAAUAACAGGUAAACAAGAAGGAAGCAUGUCCCCAGUUGGUUCAUAGUGAUGUGUCCUUCGGUGACACGUCAAGACAUGCCUAUCAACCAGGAAGGUGCUC